GAAGAGGUGGGAGAGGGAUGCUGGAAGCAGAGGGGCCAGUAAGGAGGUGGUUGCAACAGCCCAGGUGAGAAAGCUCAAGGCCCACGGAGGCGGCCAGAGUGGAAGUUAGGAAGAAGGAUCCAGGAGGAAUCUGCAAAGGGAGAACCACCAGGGCUUGGCCCUGAAUAAACUACACAGAAGGAGGGUCCAGGAGACAACCACAAUCUUGAGGUACCAACUCCAGGGUGCCUGUGCUUUGAUCCGCUUCUGGAACCAGUGCCUGUGAAGAUAAAAGGGCACCUGCACAUCAAGGGAAGAAUUUCCAACCAGAGUUCCCUCUGGAACCAGGGUGGAGCCUUGGGAAGCAACAGAAAAUAAAACCUAAGGCUGGACCCGGAAGCCAUCCAGGAGGAGCCGCGGGGUAGCAAACACCCGGGGAGACCAGAUGCCUGCCUGCACAGACCUUUCCAGACUGUGGCUCCUGAGCUGGCACCCCUCUUGUUCACUGCUUCUCCUCAACCCCAGCACAGUGCCUGAUGUUUAGCACACGUUCACUCAAUAAUUGACAAUGCCUGAAAUUCACAUUUUCAGUCCAACACCACUUUCUAUGUGCCAUGUGAAAAAUGCUGAUGGGGAUGCAGAGAUAACAAAAUGAGAGAUUAUUAGAGUGAAUAAGUCCUCAGGCCACGGAAUUUAGGUUCUGCUUCCCCCACUUAAUGGUCUCUGCAACCCCACAGAUAAGAAGGUUGGUCAUGAUGGGUCCUACCCCUCUAGGUUGUGAUCACUGCUGAGUCCAUUAAUAGGCAGUCUUUCACAAUCCUGCACAGGGUAUAUGUUCAAUAAAUGCUGGCUCUUGAUCAUUUUUAAUUGAGACAUGAAAUAUAUAAAAUUUUAUAUAAAAUAGAAUGCAUAGAUCUUAAGUGUUUCAUUUGAUGAGUUUUGGCAAUAUAAACCUGUAUAAACUGUAUAAACCUAUGUAGCCAUCAUCUAAGACAAGGUAUAGAUAUGAGACAUUUCCAAUCACCCCAGAAAGGUCCCUCACACUCCUUUCCAGUCAAUUUCUGUCUCCCUGCUCCCAGGGGCAACCGUUUUCUGAUUUCCAUCAUCUUAGAUGACCUUUGCUCAUUCUAGUACUUCAUAUAAAUGGAAUCAUAUAGUA